CCAUGCAUGUCUCAGUACAAGCCGAAUUAAGGUGAAACCGCGAAAGGCUCAUUAAAUCAGUUAUGGUUCCUUAGAUCGUACCCACAUUUACUUGGAUAACUGUGGUAAUUCUAGAGCUAAUACAUGCAAACAGAGCUCCGACCGGAGACGGAAGGAGCGCUUUUAUUAGAUCAAAACCAAUCGGUGGCGGGUUUUCCCGUCAUCGUACAACUUGGUGACUCUGAAUAACUUUUCGCUGAUCGCACGGUCUCGCACCGGCGACGCAUCUUUCAAAUGUCUGCCUUAUCAACUGUCGAUGGUAGGUUCUGCGCCUACCAUGGUUGUAACGGGUAACGGGGAAUCAGGGUUCGAUUCCGGAGAGGGAGCCUGAGAAACGGCUACCACAUCCAAGGAAGGCAGCAGGCGCGCAAAUUACCCACUCCCGGCACGGGGAGGUAGUGACGAAAAAUAACGAUACGGGACUCAUCCGAGGCCCCGUAAUCGGAAUGAGUACACUCUAAACCCUUUAACGAGGAUCAAUUGGAGGGCAAGUCUGGUGCCAGCAGCCGCGGUAAUUCCAGCUCCAAUAGCGUAUAUUAAAGUUGUUGCGGUUAAAAAGCUCGUAGUCGAAUCUGUGUCCCGCGUCGCCGGUUCAUCGUCCGCGGUGUUAACUGGCGUACCGCGGGACGUCCUGCCGGUGGGCUUAGCUCGCAAGGGCGGCCCAACUCAAUCCCGCCGCGGUGCUCUUCACUGAGUGUCGAGGUGGGCCGGCACGUUUACUUUGAACAAAUUAGAGUGCUUAAAGCAGGCUAAAACUUCGCCUGAAUACUGUGUGCAUGGAAUAAUGGAAUAGGACCUCGGUUCUAUUUUGUUGGUUUUCGGAACCCCGAGGUAAUGAUUAAUAGGAACGGAUGGGGGCAUUCGUAUUGCGACGUUAGAGGUGAAAUUCUUGGAUCGUCGCAAGACGGACAGAAGCGAAAGCAUUUGCCAAAAACGCUUUCAUUGAUCA
rnacentral:rRNA from 1 species